CUUUUUACUGAAAGCCUUGGUCCAGCCUACUCUGUUUCAUGAUUAACUCAUCAUAUGUUUCUUUCCUCUGCCCAGCUCUUUCAAACCUAGACCUACCUUGAUGCCAAAGCUAAAUUCCACUUUUGUGACUGAGUUCCUCUUUGAAGGUUUCUCCAGCUUCAGGCGGCAGCACAAACUUGUCUUCUUUGUUGUCUUCCUAACUUUGUACCUGCUGACUCUCUCUGGCAAUGUGAUUAUCAUGACCAUUAUUCGCCUGGACCAUCAUCUUCACACCCCCAUGUACUUCUUCCUGUGCAUGCUAUCCAUCUCUGAGACCUGCUACACUGUGGCCAUCAUUCCCCAUAUGCUUUCUGGUCUCUUGAAUCCUCAUCAGCCCAUUGCCACCCAAAGCUGUGCCACUCAGCUCUUCUUCUAUCUCACCUUUGGCAUCAACAACUGCUUCCUGCUCACAGUCAUGGGAUAUGACCGCUAUGUGGCCAUCUGCAACCCCCUAAGGUAUUCAGUCAUCAUGGGUAAGAGGGCCUGUAUCCAACUGGCCUCUGGAUCACUGGGGAUUGGCCUUGGCAUGGCCAUUGUCCAAGUAACAUCUGUGUUUGGCCUGCCAUUCUGUGAUGCCUUUGUCAUCUCCCACUUCUUCUGUGAUGUGAGACACCUGCUGAAGCUGGCCUGCACAGACACCACUGUCAAUGAGAUAAUCAACUUUGUUGUCAGCGUCUGUGUCCUUGUUCUACCUAUGGGCCUGGUCUUUAUCUCCUAUGUCCUCAUCAUCUCCACCAUUCUUAAGAUUGCCUCAGCUGAAGGUCAGAAGAAGGCCUUUGCCACCUGCGCCUCCCACCUCACAGUGGUCAUCAUCCACUAUGGCUGUGCCUCCAUCAUCUACCUGAAGCCUAAGUCCCAGAGUUCCCUGGGACAGGACAGACUCAUCUCAGUGACCUACACUCAUCACUCCCCUACUGAACCCUGUUGUGUACAGCCUGAAGAACAAGGAGGUCAAAGAUGCUCUGCACAGAGCCGUGGGGCAAAAAACUCUGUCUCCUUAAUGAAGAGAGGUUGUGAAGGCUUUUCCUUUGCGUUUAUAAAUAUGUACUAAUUUUUAAUGCUCUUUCAAUAAUGCCCUUAUGUAUGGGAUCAAGAAGACUAGACUAAAUUGAACUGAGUGCUAAAACUGGAGGUUUCUGUUUGAGGUUGUU